CUUCCAGGUGCCUUAACGGGUAUCUGGAAACCAUGAUAAAAUCAAUUAUUUAUUCCAUGUAAAUUAAGGGCAUGAGUAAACACUCACAAAAAAUUUAAAACUCUGGCUGUAUUCAUUUCAGAUAAUGCGUCAUCAGUUUAUUACCACUUGCACUUUUACAUUUUCAAGUACUUUUGAACAUGUAGAAAAUUCACCCUAUGAGUUGAUUUUCCCGAUGGUAGAACUGCCUUGGAUGGUCUUCAUGAAGUUUGCAACAAUAAAAUGCACAGAUAUGGUGAUGCUAAUUUUAUCUGUUAUUUUUAUGCAGAAGGUCCCAUCAAUUCAGCUUAUGCCAAUUGAACCUCCAAAUUCAAAAAAAAUACAAAACUAAAACAAGAUAUAACAGAACAACAUCAGAGAGAGAAAAAAAGAGGUUUAAACAAUCUGAUGCCUAAGUGGAAGAGCAUAUUUAGUACCCACUUUAUCAUCAAUCAAUAAUGUCUGAUCUUAUUUAAUGAGUUGUGAACUUUGCUGGAAGAUUUCUAAUGAAUAACAUUCGUACUGCUCAAAAGCUUUUACUUUUGGUAUUAUGGCUUAUUUUUCAGGGUAUUAAAGCAAGAGAAUCUGAAUUUUAGAUCCCAUUCACCACAUCUUCAAAAUAAAUUAAAAUUCCUAUGUCUUGAAUGCUAUUCAUGAGCAGGGUUAAUAAAUAAAUUUACUCAUUACACUGUCUUUUAAGCUUUUAGAAUUGGCAGUUGCUCAUCAAGCUUUGAUGUGAACAGUAAAAAGUAAAACACACAUGCUAUAAUUGUAAGUAGGGUGUGUCUAUAGGGAGCUUGAGCUCAUAUGAGAACGAGUUUAUCUACCAUUAGAUUGAAUUUUUAUAACGAGAUAUGUAUAGAAUUAAUUGAAGUGUAUAUAUAGAGUGCACAAAUCUAUGUGCAAAAAUUCAAUCUAACGGUAGAUAAACGUACCAAAUGAAUUUACUUUAAAACAUACAAAGAUAGGAAAAUAUUUAAUGUUUUUAUGGGAAAGCUCAUAAUUUAAUGCUAAAACAAGCACAAUAAUUGCUUAGGGCAC
rnacentral:misc_RNA from 1 species